AGCCGUGAAAGCUAUAUCCUUCAUUUCCUCUCUCUCUUCAUUUCUCAUGGAACUGAAACCCUAGCUUCUGUCUUCAGCCCAGAACGUCAAAACAUGAAUCCAUCUCCAUCUCCAUCUCUGUCAAAAACGGAACCCAGCCAUGGCGAUCUGUGAUUCUAGCCCAGAUUGUCACCAUCGUGCAUUCCUCUGCAAAACCCGAGACUUGGGGAUCCGAGUAAGGCCAAGGGGAAUAGGAGCCGCAAGGAUCAAUGGCUCACACAUGGAGCUGCUGUACACACAGCAAAGAUGGCUGUAAGAACUCGGAUCUACAAAAUGAAAGAUACUGGAUCGGAGACAUGGCUUUGAUGAAUGUCCACCUCUGUUUUGCCUGGAUCGGAAAGGGAUCCUCCUAAUCCACCAAAUCAGAAAAUCCGUGAUAUUGAAAUUUGAUCUAAUGACUGAAGUUAUUAUAACUUUUAAAGUGAGUUCUUGUUUGUAGCCAUUGUAUGUAUGACUGAACUCAGCCUCAAAUUCUUUUCUACAUUCGUGUAGAUGAUGAAUGCUCAAAUAAAUGUUGAUGAAUGGAUGAAUGAUGAAUGCAUAUUUGUAUCUUUAUUCUUUCGUUUA